rnacentral:rRNA from 1 species
GGAAGGAUCAUUACUGAGUCGUCGACACGAGUUGUUGCUGGUCCCCACAUGGGGGCAUGUGCACGCUCUGUUUACACAUCCACUCACACCUGUGCACCCUCUGUAGUUCUAUGGUCUGGGGGACCCUGUCUUCCUUCUGUGGUUCUGCAUCUUUACACACACACUGUAAUAAAGUCAUAUGGAAUGUACACCGCGUUUAACGCAAUACAAUACAACUUUCAGCAACGGAUCUCUUGGCUCUCGCAUCGAUGAAGAACGCAGCGAAAUGCGAUAAGUAAUGUGAAUUGCAGAAUUCAGUGAAUCAUCGAAUCUUUGAACGCACCUUGCGCCCCUUGGAUAUUCCGAUGGGCAUGCCUGUUUGAGUAUCAUGAACACCUCAACUCUCAUGGUUUGCCAUGAUGAGCUUGGACUUUGGGGGUUUUGCUGGCCUAUGGUCAGCUCCUCUCAAAUAAAUCAGCUUGCCAGUGUUUGGUGGCAUCACAGGUGUGAUAACUAUCUACGCUUGUUGUUGUACACCAGGUAACCUUCAGAGAUGGAGGUUCGCUGGAGCUCAUAGACGUCUCUCCUCAGUGAGGACAGCUUUUUUAACGUUCGAUCUCAAAUCAGGUAGGACUACCCGCUGAACUUAAGCAUAUCAAUAAGCGGAGGAAAAGAAACUAACAAGGAUUCCCCUAGUAACUGCGAGUGAAGCGGGAAGAGCUCAAAUUUAAAAUCUG